UACGUAGGGUGCAAGCGUUGUCCGGAUUUAUUGGGCGUAAAGAGCGUGUAGGCGGCCAGGUAGGUCGGUUGUGAAAACUGGAGGCUCAACCUUCAGAGGUCGACCGAAACCAUCUGGCUAGAGUCCGGGAGAGGAGAGUGGAAUUCCUGGUGUAGCGGUGAAAUGCGCAGAUAUCAGGAAGAACACCCGUGGCGAAAGCGGCUCUCUGGAACGGUACUGACGCUGAGACGCGAAAGCGUGGGGAGCGAACAGG
rnacentral:rRNA from 1 species